AAGGAAUGAAUGACAAGCAACGGAGACCUUACAUACACAUCACAAGCGCCAAGGAACUGUGGGACAGCAUUAUAAGGACCAAGACCGGUACCUCCACUCUUUAGCUUGCUCAAUAUGAAAUUGCCAAGGGGCAAUUGUAGAACUUCUGUAUGGAAAAGGGUGAAUCUCCCAAGCAACUACUAGAACGGCUCAUGACUCUCGCCGCGGACAUUGAGUCCUGUGACUGUGACAAGACGCAAGAUGGUUUCAACCUGACCAAGAGAUUUCUCGUGGACAAGUUACUUCA
rnacentral:lncRNA from 1 species